UACAGAGGGGGCAAGCGUUAUUCGGAAUCAUUGGGCGUAAAGAGCGUGUAGGCGGCUAUUUAAGUCCUGCGUGAAAUCCUGCGGCUCAACCGCAGACGGUCGUGGGAAACUGGAUGGCUAGAGUGCGGGAGAGGAGAGUGGAAUUCCCGGUGUAGCGGUGAAAUGCGCAGAUAUCGGGAAGAACACCCGUGGCGAAGGCGGCUCUCUGGAACGCAACUGACGCUGAGACGCGAAAGCGUGGGGAGCAAACAGG
rnacentral:rRNA from 1 species